rnacentral:rRNA from 1 species
GAUGAACGCUGGCGGCGUGCCUAAUACAUGCAAGUCGAGCGAACGGACGAGAAGCUUGCUUCUCUGAUGUUAGCGGCGGACGGGUGAGUAACACGUGGAUAACCUACCUAUAAGACUGGGAUAACUUCGGGAAACCGUAGCUAAUACCGGAUAAUAUUUUGAACCGCAUGGUUCAAUAGUGAAAGACGGUCUUGCUGUCACUUAUAGAUGGAUCCGCGCUGCAUUAGCUAGUUGGUAAGGUAACGGCUUACCAAGGCAACGAUGCAUAGCCGACCUGAGAGGGUGAUCGGCCACACGGGAACUGAGACACGGUCCAGACUCCUACGGGAGGCAGCAGUAGGGAAUCUUCCGCAAUGGGCGAAAGCCUGACGGAGCAACGCCGCGUGAGUGAUGAAGGUCUUCGGAUCGUAAAACUCUGUUAUUAGGGAAGAACAUAUGUGUAAGUAACUGUGCACAUCUUGACGGUACCUAAUCAGAAAGCCACGGCUAACUACGUG